rnacentral:rRNA from 1 species
ACGUAGGGUGCAAGCGUUAAUCGGAAUUACUGGGCGUAAAGCGUGCGCAGGCGGUUUUGUAAGACAGAGGUGAAAUCCCCGGGCUCAACCUGGGAACUGCCUUUGUGACUGCAAGGCUGGAGUGCGGCAGAGGGGGAUGGAAUUCCGCGUGUAGCAGUGAAAUGCGUAGAGAUGUGGAGGAACACCGAUGGCGAAGGCAGCCCCCUGGGUCGACACUGACGCUCGUGCACGAAAGCGUGGGGAGCAAACAG